CCACAUUAUGUUGAAACACCAGUUCCCAUACAAUCACCAAAGUUAAGAUACGUUGAGCUUGAUCAGUACUUAGAUGGGUGGCCAUUUGGGAAUACCAGAUACUGUAA